AACGAACGCUGGCGGCAGGCUUAACACAUGCAAGUCGAGCGAGACCUUCGGGUCUAGCGGCGGACGGGUGAGUAACGCGUGGGAACGUGCCCUUCUCUACGGAAUAGCCCCGGGAAACUGGGAGUAAUACCGUAUACGCCCUUUGGGGGAAAGAUUUAUCGGAGAAGGAUCGGCCCGCGUUGGAUUAGGUAGUUGGUGGGGUAAUGGCCCACCAAGCCGACGAUCCAUAGCUGGUUUGAGAGGAUGAUCAGCCACACUGGGACUGAGACACGGCCCAGACUCCUACGGGAGGCAGCAGUGGGGAAUCUUAGACAAUGGGGGCAACCCUGAUCCAGCCAUGCCGCGUGAGUGAUGAAGGCCUUAGGGUUGUAAAGCUCUUUCAGCUGGGAAGAUAAUGACGGUACCAGCAGAAGAAGCCCCGGCUAACUCCGUG
rnacentral:rRNA from 1 species